rnacentral:rRNA from 1 species
GAUGAACGCUGGCGGCGUGCCUAAUACAUGCAAGUCGAGCGAACAGACGAGGAGCUUGCUCCUCUGACGUUAGCGGCGGACGGGUGAGUAACACGUGGAUAACCUACCUAUAAGACUGGGAUAACUUCGGGAAACCGGAGCUAAUACCGGAUAAUAUAUUGAACCGCAUGGUUCAAUAGUGAAAGACGGUUUUGCUGUCACUUAUAGAUGGAUCCGCGCCGCAUUAGCUAGUUGGUAAGGUAACGGCUUACCAAGGCAACGAUGCGUAGCCGACCUGAGAGGGUGAUCAGCCACACUGGAACUGAGACACGGUCCAGACUACUGCGGGAGGCAGCAGUGGGGAAUCUUGCACAAGGGGCGAAAGCCUGAGGGAGCCAGGCCGCGUGAGUGAAGAAGGUCUUCGGAUUGUAAAGCUCUUUUAGUGGGGAAGAAAAAAUGUGAAGUAAAAUCUGACUGUUUUGACGUUACCAACAGAAAAAGCCCGGGCUAACUUCGUG